AAUUAGAAAGCGAAGUUUGCAGUUAGUUUCGACCUAACCUUUGGCCUAGGCCUCUAAUUU
rnacentral:tRNA from 1 species